UCAUUGUGCCUCUGCUCUGCCAUCACCAUCAACAUCACUAUUGUUGUUACCAUUGCAGAGAAACUGUACGGUGACUUCCUGAGCCGGAAGCUGGAAGAAACCCUCACCCAGUUUCCCCUGCAGCCUGGGCAGGCGGCCACCUUCACUGUCACCAUGAAAGCGAGCCUGGACUUCUCCUGCCAGGAGGGUCUCCUGCAGGACCUGAGUGACAAGCCUGCGCAAGCCGUGAGGAGAGGAGCUGUCCUCGUCGCUGCUGGCCGAGCCUGAGGGAGACCCAGCGGCCCCAGGGUCAGGCCGGGAUGAGGAGAGGCUGCGUGUCCGAGGCUGCCGCGCCGUUUCCCAGGCGCAUUUCUCCUCUUCAGCCCCAUCCGGAAACAACGUCCUUCGCGGACCUCUGUCCCACCAGCAGACCGGACCCCCCUUGGAGAGAAGCUGUACGGUGACUUCCUGAGCUGGAAGCUGGAAGAAACCCUCACCCAUUUCCCCCUGCAGCCUGGGCAGAUGGCCACCUUCACUGUCACCAUGAAAGCGAGCCUGGACUUCUCCUGCCAGGAGGGUCUUGUGCAGGACCUGA